rnacentral:rRNA from 1 species
UACGUAGGUGGCAAGCGUUGUCCGGAUUUACUGGGCGUAAAGAGCGCGCAGGCGGUCGUUUAAGUCGAAUGUGAAAGCCCCGGCUCAACUGGGGAGGGUCAUUCGAUACUGAUCGACUUGAAGGCAGGAGAGAGAAGUGGAAUUCCCGGUGUAGUGGUGAAAUGCGUAGAUAUCGGAGGAACACCAGUGGCGAAGGCGACUUCUUGGCCUGUUCUUGACGCUGAGGCGCGAAAGCUGGGGGAGCAAACGGG